GAAAUCCUCCUGUCGUGACUCUUUUUUAUUUUUUUUAGUGUAAUUAUGUAAUUAAUGCGUUCAGAGCGAGCUGCAGAAGGAGGGACACAUUUUUUAUUUUUUUUAUUAUUAUUGUUAUUAUUAUCAUGACUUAUUUCCUCCCAGGGUUUUUACAGCCUCCCUUAUUUUCAGGGAGAUUGCACAAGGGGCUGUUGUUGUGCAGUUUAUUGCUCUCAGAAGGAAGCUGAGCCCCGAACCUUUGCAAUGACACUCAAAAAGCCCUUUAAUAACAUUUAUUCCUCGGCAGGGACACAACCUGCACCCUUCCUGCAGAGGAAUGGGCUCCACUUUGCUGCCGCUUGGACUCCUCCAGAAAAACAACACCUCCCACACAGCAAAAAUCAUAAUUCAGCCCGGAAUCGCUGUUCCUGCGGUCACGUGUGCCUGGGGAGAGAGAGGAAAAGGCUCCUGAGAGGAAUGAAUUCUGCUGGAGCCUUUGAUGUCUGCGGGAGGAUGGAGCCUGGGUGCUCCCGGCAUGUGGCACCGCACCUGGAAUGCUCCGAGAUGAAAGGGCCGGGAUGCGAUCAGCCCAGAAUGGGAACGCUUCCAAGGGCUGCUCUUUCCCUUUUCCCAUCCUGGUUUCCCAGCUAUUUUCUUCCUUUCCUUUCCUUUCCUUUCCUUUCCUUUCCUUUCCUUUCCUUAGAAUUCCCACAAACUCAGCCGGGUCGCCCUCAGGUUUUCAGCUGCAAAAACCGGACGUGUUUUCCUGAGAGUUUCCACACAAAAAAAAAUCUCAUUUUUCACCCCUCAGAAUGGGUGAGGAAGGAGGGAAAAGGAGCAGCACUUUUCCAGCCCAGGAACCCUCCUUUGAGCCAUCAGCCUGUGCGGAGCCAAUUCCCAAUUUCUGAUUAAAAGAUUAUUAUUAUUAUUAUUACUAAAAGAUUAAAGCCUGCAGCAGCGAGAUUCACACCAGGGCUGCAUUCCCAGCAAGGCCUCAGACAGGCAGGGCUUGAAAUGAGCCAGAGCUCGGGGCUGAUCCGUGAGGGGGUCCCA
rnacentral:lncRNA from 1 species